GUGCCCACUUCAGUAACACAUAGAAAAAAUAUCUGAAGCAAUUCAGAGAAGAUUAUCGCAAUCUCCAAACAAGGAUGACACAGAAAUUUGUAAAUUUCAUAUUUU
rnacentral:snRNA from 1 species